UACGGAGGAUGCGAGCGUUGUCCGGAUUUACUGGGUGUAAAGGGUGCGUAGGCGGUUUUGCAAGUCAGAAGUGAAAUCCAUGGGCUUAACCCAUGAACUGCUUUUGAAACUGCAGGACUUGAGUGAAGUAGAGGCAGGCGGAAUUCCGAGUGUAGCGGUGAAAUGCGUAGAUAUUCGGAGGAACACCAGUGGCGAAGGCGGCCUGCUGGGCUUUAACUGACGCUGAGGCACGAAAGCGUGGGUAGCAA
rnacentral:rRNA from 1 species